GACGAACGCUGGCGGCGUGCUUAACACAUGCAAGUCGAACGGAAAGGCCUUUUCGGAGGUACUCGGGUGGCGAACGGGUGAGUAACACGUGGGUGAUCUGCCCUGCACUCUGGGAUAAGCCUGGGAAACUGGGUCUAAUACCGGAUAGGACCGCACUUUAGUGUGUGUGGUGGAAAGUUUUUUCGGUGUAGGAUGAGCCCGCGGCCUAUCAGCUUGUUGGUGGGGUAAUGGCCUACCAAGGCGGCGACGGGUAGCCGGACUGAGAGGUUGGUCGGCCACAUUGGGACUGAGAUACGGCCCAGACUCCUACGGGAGGCAGCAGUGGGGAAUAUUGCACAAUGGGCGCAAGCCUGAUGCAGCGACGCCGCGUGGGGGAUGACGGCCUUCGGGUUGUAAACUCCUUUCGCCAGGGACGAAGCGUUUUGUGACGGUACCUGGAGAAGAAGCACCGGCUAACUACGUG
rnacentral:rRNA from 1 species